GAUUUCUACUUGACCGUUUUGGCCCGCUUUCUUUUCUGAGAGUGAGUGCUGCAAUGAGUCAGGUAUCCUUGUAGAGAGCCGAGCCUAUCCUUCACUGGAUUGGGCACGUGCGAUCUACAUCUUUUACUUUGAAAAAAUUAGAGUGUUUAAAGCAGGCUUAUGCUUCUGAAUACAUUAGCAUGGAAUAAUAAUAUAGGACUUCGGUUCUAUUUUGUUGGUUUCUAGGACUGAAGUAAUGAUUGAUAGGGAUAGUUGGGGGUGCUAGUAUUCCGCGGCCAGAGGUGAAAUUCUUGGAUUCGCGGAAGACUAACUAAUGCGAAAGCAUU
rnacentral:rRNA from 2 species